UCAUUUUUUAAUGUUAUGAUACGUAAUUAAUAUCAUGUCCUUCUCCCCAUAAUGUACGAAGACAGAGGGAGAGGGCUCCAGCCACUUUGGUUUCAUGUCUUCGGUGCCGACGGUUUCCAGUCCGCCAGUUCUAUCCUCAAGUGCUGGGACAUGA